UACGUAGGGGGCAAGCGUUGUCCGGAUUUAUUGGGCGUAAAGAGCGUGUAGGCGGCUAGAUAGGUCCGUUGUGAAAACUCGAGGCUCAACCUCGAGACGUCGAUGGAAACCAUCUGGCUAGAGUCCGGAAGAGGAGAGUGGAAUUCCUGGUGUAGCGGUGAAAUGCGCAGAUAUCAGGAAGAACACCCGUGGCGAAGGCGGCUCUCUGGUACGUGACUGACGCUGAGACGCGAAAGCCAGGGGAGCAAACGGG
rnacentral:rRNA from 1 species